CAAAAUCCCACCUCAGUUAAGGAGACAGGUACAAAACCCCACCUCAGUGAGGGAGACAGGUACAAUACCCCACCUUAGUUAAGGAGUCAGGUACAAAACCCCACCUCAGUUAAGGAGAAAGGUACAAAACCCCACCUCAGUUAAGGAGACAGGUACAAAACCCCACCUCAGUUAAGGAGAAAGGUACAAAAUCCCACCUCAGUUAAGGAGACAGGUACAAAACCCCACCUCAGUUAAGGAGACAGGUAUGAAACCCCACCUCAGUUAAGGAGACAGGUACAAAACCCCACCUUAGUUAAGGAGCAAGGUACAAAAUCCCUUCUCAGUUAAGGAGACAGGUAUGAAACCCCACCUCAGUUAAGGAGACAGGUACAAAACCCCACCUCAGUUAAGG